UCUGUGGGUCAAGAAUUUAGACAAGGCACCAUGGGGUCAUGAGCCUAGUGUCUCACCUUGGAAGACUAAGUCGCUGGGGGCACCAUGACAGCUGGCCGCUGGAAUCAUCUGAGUAUCAUCACCCACAUGUCUGGAGGUUGACGCUGGCUGUCAGAUGGGGUCUUGCUCUGUCACCGAGGCUGGAGUACAGUAACAUGAUCUCGGCUCACUGCAACCUCUGCCUCCAAGGUUCAAGCGAGUCUCCGACCUCAGUCUCCUGAGUAGCUAGGACUACAGGCACCUCGUCCAUGCCAGGCCUGAUGCCAGCCCCAGGGAAGACAAUAACUCAGCCUUGCAGUUCACUUUGUAGUUCACAAAGUGCUUCCAUUAUAAGAGUCACGGCUACCCUGCAAAACAGAGUCUUGGACUAUCGCCAGGCACCAGGCUGGAGUGUAAUGGCGCGAUCUCGGCUCACCGCAACCUCUGUCUCCCAGGUUCAAGCAAUUCUCCUGCCUCAGCCUCCCGAGUAGCUGGGACCACAGGCACGUGCGACCAUGCCCAGCUAAUUUUUGUAUUUUUAGUAGAGACGGGGUUUCACCAUGUUGGCCAGGAUGGUCUCAAUCUCUUGACCUCGCGAUCCGCCUGUCUCGGCCUCCCAAAGUGCUGGGAUUACAGGCGUGACCCACCAUGUCCGGUGCAGAAUCUGCAUUUUAACAAGUCCCCUGGGGGAUU